rnacentral:rRNA from 1 species
GACGAACGCUGGCGGCGUGCUUAACACAUGCAAGUCGAGCGGUAAGGCCCUUCGGGGUACACGAGCGGCGAACGGGUGAGUAACACGUGGGUGACCUGCCUCUAGCUCUGGGAUAAAGCCUGGGAAACUGGGUCUAAUACCGGAUAUGACUCCACGGCGCAUGUUGUGGGGUGGAAAGCCUUGUGUGGCUAGAGAUGGGCCCGCGGCCUAUCAGCUUGUGGUGGGGNGAUGGCCUACCAAGGCGACGACGGGUAGCCGGCCUGAGAGGGCGACCGGCCACACUGGGACUGAGACACGGCCCAGACUCCUACGGGAGGCAGCAGUGGGGAAUCUUGCGC